AGGUCUCCAUAUCUUGUCGGAACGCUUAUUGGGAGCACCGGCGUCGCGCUUUCUGGUGGAGGUUCCUGUGAAACAUGCCGAAGUUUUACUGUGACUACUGUGAUACCUACCUUACACAUGAUUCGCCGUCAGUGAGGAAAACCCACUGCAGUGGCCGAAAGCACAAAGAAAAUGUGAAAGAUUACUACCAGAAAUGGAUGGAGGAGCAAGCACAGAGUCUGAUUGAUA